GGGCUGGUUGAGCUGCGCCGCUGCAGGUAGUGCUGAGUUGCUCCAGUGCCACUGGGUUAGGGUCUCCACAACCGAGCUGGUCUCAGCAAGUGGUGUCCAUACAUGGGGCUCGAACCUGGGUUGAAGGGUCGCCAGAGCGACGGUUGGAGAACGUGGAACUAAGCUGGAGGACACCUGAGUACUCUUAAGCAAUCCCCGUGGGGGAGUUAAUCCUCGAGGAUUGGAACGUAAUUCUCUUUGGCAAAUGGAUGUCACCCACGUUCCCUCGUUUGGGAGACUAGCUUAUGUACAUGUAUGUGUGGACACCUUUUCUCACUUUGUCUGGGCUACAUGCCAAUCAGGAGAGUCUUCUGCCUGAGUUAAACAUCACCUUUUGCAGUGUUUUGUGGUGAUGGGCAUUCCAGCUUCUAUUAAAACAGAUAACGUCCCAGGCUAUACUAGCCAAGCUCUAGCUACAUUUUUCUCUAUAUGGAAUACUAAACACAUUACUGGCAUUCCGUAUAAUUCUCAAGGACAAGCCAUAGUGGAAAGAAUGAAUCCCUCCCUGAAACAGCAGUUGCAAAAGCAAAAAGGGGGAAACAGGGACUAUGGGAUACCCCAUAUGCAAUUGAAUCUAGUAUUAUUGACUUUAAAUUUUUUGAGACUGCCUAAAGGCCAGAUGCUAUCAGCAGCUGAAUAGCAUCUACAGAAACCAGCUGCAAAGACAGAAGCAGAACAACUGGUUUGGUGGAGAGAGCCAAUGAUAAAAAGUUGGGAAAUGGGUAGAAUAAUAACUUGGGGUAGAGGUUAUCCUUGUGUUUCUCCAGGACCAAAUCAACUGCCAAUUUGGAUAUCAUCGAGGCACCUGAAACCUUAUCAUGAGCCUGAUGCUGAGGAAUAGAUUCUGGGAGGAUCCCGAGGAUCCCCUGGUUGCAGCCAUGUUGAGACUGACGCUGAGGGGGACCCCAACUGUCACGAGCAACACCCAUCGAACGCAGCCACCUACCUGGGGACAGAUCAAGAAGCUGUCACAGAUGGCAGAAGAAAACCUAAGGAAAGUGG
rnacentral:lncRNA from 1 species